rnacentral:rRNA from 1 species
CCUACGGGAGGCAGCAGUGGGGAAUAUUGGACAAUGGGCGCAAGCCUGAUCCAGCAAUGCCGCGUGUGUGAAGAAGGCCUGCGGGUUGUAAAGCACUUUCAGUAGGGAAGAAAAGCUUCAAGUUAAUAACCCUGAGUCUUGACGUUACCUACAGAAGAAGCACCG